rnacentral:rRNA from 1 species
AUGAACGCUGGCGGCGUGCCUAAUACCUGCAAGUCGAGCGAACGGACGAGAAGCUUGCUUCUCUGAUGUUAGCGGCGGACGGGUGAGUAACACGUGGAUAACCUACCUAUAAGACUGGGAUAACUUCGGGAAACCGGAGCUAAUACCGGAUGAUAUUUUGAACCGCAUGGUUCAAAAGUGAAAGACGGUCUUGCUGUCACUUAUAGAUGGAUCCGCGCUGCAUUAGCUAGUUGGUAAGGUAACGGCUUACCAAGGCAACGAUGCAUAGCCGACCUGAGAGGGUGAUCGGCCACCCUGGAACUGAGCCACGGUCCAGACUCCUACGGGAGGCAGCAGUAGGGAAUCUUCCGCAAUGGGCGAAAGCCUGACGGAGCAACGCCGCGUGAGUGAUGAAGGUCUUCGGAUCGUAAAACUCUGUUAUUAGGGAAGAACAUAUGUGUAAGUAACUGUGCACAUCUUGACGGUACCUAAUCAGAAAGCCACGGCUAACUACGUG